rnacentral:tRNA from 1 species
GUAGAAUAGUGUUACUUCGACUGUUACUCGAGAAAUACGGGUUCGAAUCCCGUCAGAUCCA